rnacentral:rRNA from 1 species
UACGUAGGUGGCAAGCGUUAUCCGGAUUUAUUGGGCGUAAAGGGAACGCAGGCGGUCUUUUAAGUCUGAUGUGAAAGCCUUCGGCUUAACCGGAGUAGUGCAUUGGAAACUGGGAGACUUGAGUGCAGAAGAGGAGAGUGGAACUCCAUGUGUAGCGGUGAAAUGCGUAGAUAUUAGGAGGAACACCAGUGGCGAAGGCGGCCUGCUGGGCUUUUACUGACGCUGAGGCUCGAAAGUGUGGGGAGCAAACAGG